GGUGGUGCAUGGUUGGCGUCAGCUCGUGUCGUGAGAUGUUGGGUUAAGUCCCGCAACGAGCGCAACCCUUAAGCUUAGUUGCCAGCAUUAAGUUGGGCACUCUAAGUUGACUGCCGGUGACAAACCGGAGGAAGGUGGGGAUGACGUCAAAUCAUCAUGCCCCUUAUGAUUUGGGCUACACACGUGCUACAAUGGACAAUACAAAGGGCAGCUAAACCGCGAGGUCAUGCAAAUCCCAUAAAGUUGUUCUCAGUUCGGAUUGUAGUCUGCAACUCGACUACAUGAAGCUGGAAUCGCUAGUAAUCGUAGAUCAGCAUGCUACGGUGAAUACGUUCCCGGGUCUUGUACACACCGCCCGUCACACCACGAGAGUCUGUAACACCCGAAGCCGGUGGAGUAACCAUUUAUGGAGCUAGCCGUCGAAGGUGGGACAAAUGAUUGGGGUGAAGUCGUAACAAGGUAGCCGUAUCGGAAGGUGCGGCUGGAUCACCUC
rnacentral:rRNA from 1 species